rnacentral:rRNA from 1 species
UGGGGAAUAUUGCACAAUGGGCGCAAGCCUGAUGCAGCCAUGCCGCGUGUAUGAAGAAGGCCUUCGGGUUGUAAAGUACUUUCAGCGGGGAGGAAGGUGUUGUGGUUAAUAACCACAGCAAUUGACGUUACCCGCAGAAGAAGCACCGGCUAACUCCGUGCCAGCAGCCGCGGUAAUACGGAGGGUGCAAGCGUUAAUCGGAAUUACUGGGCGUAAAGCGCACGCAGGCGGUCUGUCAAGUCGGAUGUGAAAUCCCCGGGCUCAACCUGGGAACUGCAUCCGAAACUGGCAGGCUUGAGUCUUGUAGAAGGGGGUAGAAUUCCAGGUGUAGCGGUGAAAUGCGUAGAGAUCUGGAGGAAUACCGGUGGCGAAGGCGGCCCCCUGGACAAAGACUGACGCUCAGGUGCGAAAGCGUGGGGAGCAAACA